rnacentral:tRNA from 1 species
GCCUGCUUAGCAUAGUGGCUAAUGCGUUGCACUUGUACUAACUCCUUACAAAUGCAAAGAUCACAGGUUCGAUUCCUGUAGUAGGCA